UCUUCACUCUUUAUUUCUUUUCGCUUUGGUGGUCGUUUCUUCUUCCUCUCGCUCUCCCCCUCCCUCUCCCUAACUAGCUUUCAUUUCUUUCUCAAUAAUUUCUUUAUUUUUUAAUUUACAUUAAAUUAUUAAUCUCUUUGUAAUGAUGAAUCCAUGACUUCCUCUGGUUUCUUCAAUCUGUUAUUCGCCGUCGGCGUUUGGUGCAGCGCCUACAUUACAGUUGCCAUUCUUGCUUCGUUUCGUAUUUUUCAUCCUCUCUGUUUUUGAAUAUUACAAACCGUUUGCUUCAGUACUUCCACAGAAAAAGUAUACAAUUUGUACUGGCUUAAAUUGAUGAUUGCAACAAAUAUGGAAGAUGAAGAAUUUAGUGACUUUGAUCCUGACUGCACCAAUCCAUGUAGAUUUUUGAACAAACAUAUGGCCUACAUAUAUACAGAAGAUGGAUUUUUUUUUUUAUGAGAAAGGUGAACUUUUGGUGCGUAGUACAAUCUGAUGACAUGAAUUUCAAGAAUGUCGAAACAUGUUUUCUUAGGCUUUACAAUGUUUGAUUGAGUUUGAUUUCUAUGUGCUACUAUCCCCUAAAUCUUCUGACCAGCAAGAUUAAACCAUAAUGUUCUUAGCUACCAUGAGAUCUUGAAAGCAGCUUUAAUGGCUAUAAAUCUGGUUUCACCUUAUAAUUUGAUGAAAGGGGUACUUAUUAACU